CUCCGUGAAAAAAUCUCUAAGGUAACAUGCAAUUACCCGCUUCAAUGGUUUAACAAUCAGCCUAAAAUAAUAAAGUUAAGAACAUUUUGAUUAUAUUUUGUGAUUCAAACUGUUAAUAUCAUUGACAUACCGUAUUUAAAGAAUUAAAUAAUAAUGGAUGUU